rnacentral:rRNA from 1 species
UACGUAGGGAGCAAGCGUUGUCCGGAAUCAUUGGGCGUAAAGAGCGUGUAGGCGGUCCUGUAAGUCCGCUGUGAAAGUCAAGGGCUCAACCCUUGAAUGCCGGUGGAUACUGCAGGACUAGAGUCCGGAAGAGGCGAGUGGAAUUCCUGGUGUAGCGGUGAAAUGCGCAGAUAUCAGGAGGAACACCGAUGGCGAAGGCAGGUCGUCUGGGCAUUAACUGACGCUGAGGAGCGAAAGCAUGGGGAGCGAACAGG